UGGGAUAUUGUGUAAUGGCAGCACUACAGACUUUGACUCUGUCAGAGAAAGUUCGAAUCUUUCUAUCCCAGCCA
rnacentral:tRNA from 1 species